rnacentral:rRNA from 1 species
UACGUAGGGUGCGAGCGUUAAUCGGAAUUACUGGGCGUAAAGCGUGCGCAGGCGGUUCGUUAAGUCAGGUAUGAAAGCCCUGGGCUUAACCUAGGAAUUGCGCUUGAGACUGGAUAGCUUGGAGUGCGGCAGAGGGAGGUGGAAUUCCACGUGUAGCAGUGAAAUGCGUAGAGAUGUGGAGGAACACCGAUGGCGAAGGCAGCCUCCUGGGCCAGCACUGACGCUCAUGCACGAAAGCGUGGGGAGCAAACAGG